AACAUCUUGGCCAAUAUCUCAAAUCGAGAUAUAAAAAUCUUGGCCAGUGUAGUAAACAUGAUAAUAAGCAUUAUAUUUAAGCAUCGAUUUUGAAAUUUAUUAAUUAAGAAAAUAUAACUAAAAAAGUAUAAAAAAUCAUUGAAAAAUAUUAGCCAAUGUAAAUAUACCACACCGAUUGAUAUCUUAGAUUUGUAUUUGUUGUGGGUCUUCACCUCAGCCUC
rnacentral:lncRNA from 1 species